rnacentral:ncRNA from 1 species
AGAGUUUUCUUUUCUCUGUAAGGAGAUCGAGUCCCUGGAAUGGGUUCGCCCCGAGAUAGGGAUGGUGGCUCCGUAGAGCAGUGCGGUUCUUGCGCUGUCCGGUGCGCUCGCGUCGGCCCUUGAAAAUCCGAGUGAGGGAGUGUGAUUUUCGUGCCGGACCGUACCCACAUCCGCAGCAGGUCUCCAAGGUGAACAGCCUCUAGUCGAUGGACCAAUGUAGGUAAGGGAAGUCGGCAAAACGGAUCCGUAACCUUGGGAUAAGGAUUGGCUCUGAGGACUGAGCCGGUCGGGCUGGGGACCUGAAGCAGGAACGGCACUGCACCGGGACUGGGCGGGGCUCGCCGUUCACGCGGCGCGGCCAAGCCCGGACCAGCGUCGGGACCUUCCUGUGGAAAGCCUCAGCUGCGCGGCGUCUGAGGGCUUCGUGCCCAAAGUGCUAUGCUUCGGCCGGCAAAAAACAGUCAACUCAGAACUGGCACGGACCGGGGGAAUCCGACUGUCUAAUUAAAACAAAGCAUUGCGAUGGCCGCUGGUCGGUGUUGACGCAAUGUGAUUUCUGCCCAGUGCUCUGAAUGUCAACGUGAAGAGAUUCAUCAAAGCGCGGGUAAACGGCGGGAGUAACUAUGACUCUCUUGUCGUCGCAUCAUGGAAGUACCUGGGUGUACUCUUCAACACAAGGGGACGGAAGGUGCCGUUGACGGGGGAGCUGAUUCCACUCCUUGAGCGACUUUCUACUGCGCCGCUCAAACCUCAGCAGCGUCUCGUGUUGUUAAAGCACUACCUGCUACCGAGGUUUUACCACAGAGGGACGUUUUCACAUGUAACAGCGAAGUUACUGCGUCGCCUCGACACCUGUGUGCGGCUAAGAAUCCGCGGGUGGUUACGGCUACCUCAUGACACCCCGGUGGGCUAUUUUCAUGCACCGGUGGAGAGUGGUGGGCUUGGGAUCCCUGCCUUGCGGCAUAUGCUGCCAAGGCUCAAGAUACAAAGAAUGGCCAUGCUUAGGAUGAGUGAUGUUCCUGCAUGUGGAGACGCAGUGAAAUGUCCAGCCCUCAAACUAGAAG